AAAGAAUACUCUAGAAUAUCAUUAUUAUCACCGCCAUUUUGCCCAGUCAGAGAACUCUGGCUCUUUUCAUUCUAUCAUUCUUUCAUUUCUUUCUUAAUGGCGUUUUUAGUUUUCAAGGAAAACUUUUAUCACAAAAAAACUAUUGAUCUGAUCAUUUUGAAACUUUCUUCUCUUUCUCUAUAUCUCCUUUCGUCUUCAAUCCAGUUUUCUCGCACUAUCAGUUUCUUUCUGAUUUUCAGCAUAUCUAGGGACGCUUUCUACUAGCCAUUGCAUGUCGAUUCUUACUUGGGCUACUUUACGGCAAUUGAGCACUUCAGCAGCGAAGGCGAAUAUCACUCCUUGAUAAAUUUCUGAGCAAGAUAGGAGGAUAAACUCUUUACUGUUUCUGACCACAAUCCCUGAAGCCAAUUGAAGAUGUCGCUCAUCGUAUGCUCCAUCGAAGUUGAUUUUCACUAAUUGACCAGUUCUGCUUAUCUUGUCAUGUAUUCGAGCAUUUCUAUCUCCCCAGAUGGUCCAUAGCACACAGCAAAAUAGUCUGCGUUAAGAGAGAAGGUAGUGAGCGAAGACUCAGGUGAGCCACUGUAAAAACUCUAAAUUAAGUUCCUGUUUAAAAUUCGGGAUUGAUAAUGCUCUCUAAACUGACGCUGAAACAGGGCAUUCAUGGAAGAGGUGAUCCAUAAUUUCUGCUCCUUCUCCACAUCGAAGGCAUGUUGAACUGUUUACUAGCUUCUUGUGUUACAUGUUAACCCGUGUAGGCAAAUAAUUCCAUGAAAUUUUCCAGGUUGUAAUCUUAAUUUUUGUAGGUAGAUUUAGAAGCCAUAGUUUUUUUUGUAAAAAUCCCUGUAGUCAGUGUGUAAAGCAUAAGCUCUAGGAUCAGAAAUUUGUAAUAGUUUAUAGGCACUACGAACCAAGUACUCUCCUGAAGGUUCACUGCUCCACGCCAAGAAAUCAUCAUGAGGUUCUUUCGCCAAAGGGAUACGGAGUACCUUUUCUGCUUCUUAUUUCAGAAAGGAUUUAGCCCAAGACAAUCAUUGAGACCAUGCCUCAUUCUUUCACAUCCAAAACAAAAAAUCGGUACCUUCUCAUAUUUAAAGGAAAUCCACGAUUUAUUAUUAUUAUUGAUUGAGACAAAAA